rnacentral:lncRNA from 1 species
GCAUAAAAGGAAGUAAAACAUUGACUAAAUGUUAUCCAAUCAAAUAGUGGCAAAAUUAUAAUUAAUAUUGUCAUUGUCAAUGUAAAGAUUUUUUAAAUUAUCUUUUUCUUCAUAAUUCAACAUUCAUAGGCACAACCUCAGUGUGGUUUUGGUAUGUACUCAAUAUGGUCAUGUAAACAAAUACUAUCUACUCAUUUGCGGGGUAUUAAGGAUGGCAACGCUGUUUUUAAGGACACGGAUUACUAACUGCCUUUGAAUAUAGUUCAGAAACUCUGAAGAUUCUGGUCUACUAAGAGAUACUGUUCUCAGACACAAAAACUGGUCUUUUUCACAGCCUUCAUGGACUUUUUGCAGAAAAUUUGGGGCAAGGCAGAAGACCUGUAAAUGCCACCCAGGUGGAACAGACUUCAAGAGCUGGCCUAGGUUUGCG